UACGUAGGGGGCAAGCGUUGUCCGGAUUUAUUGGGCGUAAAGAGCGUGUAGGCGGCUUGGUAGGUCUCGCGUCAAAACCUGAGGCUCAACCUCAGUUCGCGUGGGAAACCACCUAGCUAGAGUCCGGAAGAGGAGAACGGAAUUCCCAGUGUAGCGGUGAAAUGCGCAGAUAUUGGGAGGAACACCAGUGGCGAAGGCGGCUCGCCUGGACCGGGUUCUGACGCUGAGGCGCGAAAGCGUGGGGAGCAAACGGG
rnacentral:rRNA from 1 species